UGGGAUGUAGCUCAGUGGUAGAGAGCGUGUUUUACACACACGUAGUCUUGGGUUUGAUCCCCAGCAUUAUAA
rnacentral:tRNA from 1 species